UGCCAAGCAACUCCUAUCCCUACCUCCUCGUGAUACCGGCUGGAAACUACGAGCAACCUUAGGGGAGAUCGGGUAACCAAUCCCGGUGGGAACUUUAAUCGUAUGCUGACAGAGACAGG
rnacentral:ribozyme from 1 species